GAUGAAGAACGUAGCGAAAUGCGAUAAGUAAUGUGAAUUGCAGAAUUCAGUGAAUCAUCGAAUCUUUGAACGCACCUUGCGCCCUUUGGCCAUUCCGAAGGGCAUGCCUGUUUGAGUAUCAUGAACACCUCAACUCUUCAUGGUUUUCCAUGAUGAGCUUGGACUUUGGGGGUCUUGCUGGCCUGUGGGUCGGCUCCUCCCAAAUGAAUCAGCUUGCCGGUUUUUGGUGGGCAUCACAGGUGUGAUAACUAUCUACGCUUGUGGUUUUCCACCAGGGUAACCUUCAGCAGUGGAGGUUCACUGGAGCUUACAAAUGUCUCUCCUCUGUGAGGACAGCCCUUUGAAUGUUUGAUCUCAAAUCAGGUAGGACUACCCGCUGAACUUAAGCAUAUCAAUAAGCGGAGGA
rnacentral:misc_RNA from 1 species